GAUGAACGCUGGCGGCGUGCCUAAUACAUGCAAGUCGAGCGAACGGACGAGAAGCUUGCUUCUCUGAUGUAAGCGGCGGACGGGUGAGUAACACGUGGAUAACCUACCUAUAAGACUGGGAUAACUUCGGGAAACCGGAGCUAAUACCGGAUAAUAUUUUGAACCGCAUGGUUCAAAAGUGAAAGACGGUCUUGCUGUCACUUAUAGAUGGAUCCGCGCUGCAUUAGCUAGUUGGUAAGGUAACGGCUUACCAAGGCAACGAUGCAUAGCCGACCUGAGAGGGUGAUCGGCCACACUGGAACUGAGACACGGUCCAGACUCCUACGGGAGGCAGCAGUAGGCAAUCUUCCGCAAUGGGCGAAAGCCUGACGGAGCAACGCCGCGUGAGUGAUGAAGGUCUUCGGAUCGUACAACUCUGUUAUUAGGGAAGAACAUAUGUGUAAGUAACUGUGCACAUCUUGACGGUACCUACUCAGAAAGCCACGGCUAACUACGUG
rnacentral:rRNA from 1 species